rnacentral:rRNA from 1 species
UAUCUCUGUAGAGUCUGCAUAUCAAUAAGCGGAGGAAAAGAAACUAACUAGGAUUCCCUUAGUAACGGCGAGUGAAGCGGGAAGAGCUCAAAUUUGAAAUCUUCAAGGUUUUACCUUGACGAAUUGUAGUUUAAAGAAGUGUUUUCUGUUGGUGUUUUGGUAAAAGUUCUUUGGAAUAGGACAUCAUAGAGGGUGAGAAUCCCGUAUUUGACCAUUACUUUCCAGCUUUGUGAUACACUUUCAAAGAGUCGGAUUGUUUGGGAAUGCAGUCCAAAAUGGGUGGUAAAUUUCAUCUAAAGCUAAAUAUUGGCGAGAGACCGAUAGCGAACAAGUACCGUGAGGGAAAGAUGAAAAGAACUUUGAAAAGAGAGUUAAACAGUACGUGAAAUUGUCAAAAGGGAAGCGUUUGACACCAGUGUUGUUUUCUCGAAAAUCAAUUAAAAAAAGUUAGGAUUUUGUAUUGUUAUGACCUUAUCAGCUUACUGUACUCUUUUCUUGUCUUUUUUAAUGCACUUUUCGUUUAACAAGUCAACAUCAAUUUCUUUUGUUGUAAAAGAGGUCAUUGGAAGGUAGGCUUUCCUUUCGGAUGAAAGUGUUUAUAGCCUUUGGCUUCUGCAAUCGGAGAGAUUGAGGUCUGCAGCGUAGAUCCUUCGGGGCUAGAUACAUUAGAUGCUAAGUUAUAGCUUUUUAUAGACAACUUGUUGACUAUGAUUAAGUCAUGUAGCUUACUCGCUUAUGCCUAUUUUACCUACGCUUAGGAUGUUGAUAGUCACAGCGUGUAC